rnacentral:lncRNA from 1 species
GUUUCCUCCAGGUGUGGAGAUGCUUGUAUCUGGGACCCCCUGCCAUUUCUCAGGACACCCUCCUGCUCCUAGCUGGGAGAUCCAGCAUCCUCAUGAAUGCGGGGCCCAAGGCCACCAACUGUUCCACCUGCUGUCAGCCAGGCCUGUUGCCCCAGCCCUACACCCACAGCUCACCCAGCAGGGACUGGAGUGUGCUGCUGCACUGCUGGAGCCGGUCGCCCGGGUCGGAGGUUGGGAAGAAGACAGCCGCUGGCAGGCCACUGGUUGGGGGGUCCAGCCGGAAGCCCACAGCGGUGAGGAGGGCCUGCCAGCCAGGGAUGCCGCCCACUUUGUUCUCCACACUCUGCUGGGAUGUGUACAUGGCAUUGCGCUGCCCAUUCUGGAUGCGCUGCAGGGAUUUCUCCACCUGAGGGGGAAUUGGGGUAAACACUGGGAUGCCGGAGCUCAGGCAUCCCAGACAGGAGGAAGUGUGUACUCACACCAGCCAGGAGGAAACAAGCCUGCCUGGGAGGACAGACGAUCAGCCCUGGCUGUCCCUCAGGAGCGGGGGGCCUCCAAGGCACACUGCCCACUGGGUCAAGGAGUAUCCAGGAGGAGUUAGAAGCAUGACCCAUCUGCCUGGCACCAGCACCUGGGGCUGCCAGGCAGCCACCCCUGCAGCUGUGUUGACAGGACCUGGCAGAGGGACUGACCCACCUUUGGAAAAUGACACCAGCAAUAUCAGGAUGUGUCAACUGGAUUUAUGCUAAGAAAAUAGGAUUUUUGGUGUUCCUCUGUUUCCCAAAGUUUGAGACACUUUCAGACACUCUGCUUUGCGGUUGUGGCCGAUGUUACCCAUGGGUGGGACUUUUGCUUUGCUCUAGAUUUUUGUAACACCCUGGGGAGUUUCAGGGGCCAAUGCUGAGAGAAGACCACAGGCUGACACAUCAUGAGACCCUCUGGGCAGGUCCACUAAGAGCAUGUAUUCUAGAACAUGCAGGGCUUGAAGCUUCACAAGAUAUUCAGUGCACUCCUUACAGAUCCUGUCAAAUGUGGACCGGGUGGUGUCAUCGCACCACCAUCAUCCCCUUGUUACCCCUGAGAACACAGCUUCAGAGAGGGUAAGUAACCUAUCUCAGGCCACACAGCCAGGACAUGGAGUAGAUCCAUCCUAAGUCUUUCUACCACACACUCCUUUCUACAGUCAUGGGUUAAAUGAGGGUGCCAUGGAAUGGGUCAUCCAGUGUACACUGACAUCAGGAGGAGUUUCACAUUCAUACACUCAUGGCAAAUGGUUCUGUUGCUCCCUGGUCCAAAGAUGAUCUUAAUAGUAGGAAAAACUCAUUUGGCAGAAGCAAGACUCAGCACACAGGCUCUCUCCCUGAGUCUUCUGUGGCUGGCCUUGCCCUGCCCUCCCCUCCCCAACCCCACUGGCAGAAUAAAGUCGGGGGGCUGUGAGGACUGAGCCCCAGGCCUUGACAGGCACCCGCAGCCAGCCGAACUCCCACCUGCCCAGUUGGAGGGGUGCGAGAAGGCCUUGCUGCUCUGCACCACCUUCAUGGCCUCCCCCAGGGCGGCGCUGGCUUUCAGGCCGUUCAGCAGGGAUGAGUAGAAGGCAUGGAUGAACAUCUUAGAAGCAGCCACUGGCACAGGCCACAGAGACACGAGGACACACUGAGCGCCGGCAGCCAGGAAGGCCCUUGUCAGCGCGAUGACCCCGUCGGCUGUGACUUUGCUGUUGGACUCCUGGGAGGAGCCAAGCACCACCAGCUUCACAGGCAGCUGCAGGUCCAGGACGUCGGCGGCAGUGCCUAACUUACUGAGAAUCAUGCCUGCUGUGAUGAGCCCUUGGAAACCAUCAGGACUGGAUGGUAGGGGUCCUGAGAGGAUUGGGGGAGGAGGCCUUGAUAUGACAGAGUGGACAGAGGCCGUGGAACCCAGGACAGCCAGCCUGCUCCACAAUCCUCAUCCCCACAGACCUUCAUGUGUGGCUCCUAAAUAAGAGGAAACCCACUCCUGAUAAGUCAGGGGCUUUGAAAAGUGAUUUUGUUUAAAUGGUGCAAACAAGCAAGCCAAUCUUGGGGAGACAGGGCUAAACUUAAGUCCUUUAAGAAGCUCUACAUACUGACAAGAUUCUAGUUCCCUUCCACCUUAUAUGCUGCAAAGUAAAAAGUAUCACUGAAUGAGAAAAUCAGCAUAAAGAAGCCCAAUAAUGUCUGCCUGAGUUUCCCCUAUGAUGACUUUUGGUACUUUUUGGGAAACAUUAAGUAUGAAGUUAUUUCAAAAUAAUUUUUUGGUGCCUCUGCUUGGUGAUGCCUUAAACUCUGGGUAAGAGAAACACCAGGUGCCUGUCAGGAGAUGGCCUUUUCCAGGUUUCUGGUUAAGCUACAAACAGCUAACUGGCUGCUGUCAUCAAAAUAAAAGCUUUCUGAAGGUGGAGGCAUCUGAUACCCAGAGUGCUGCUAUCAGCCGGCACGGUGGGCCGCUGGGUGGCAGGAGCGUCGAGAAGGCCAGCUCGCUUCCUAUCUGGGAUUCAGAAUCAGCUAUGGAAACUUGAGAGACCUAGAGAAAAUAACUUCUUUCACUUUGAACUGAUUCUUUGCUUCAUAAGAAAAGUAUUAUCCAGCCACAAAAAUGGUCAAAAUUCAGAUCUACAAAAGCCUGUCAGGCAGAAACUGACCCCACUUAGGCCACGCCAAUGAGCAAGUCAUCAAAGCAGCCAAGACAGGUCCUGUGGGGGCCACCCAUGCACAGGGCCCAGCCUCGGGUCCUAACCCCGCCUAUGCUUUCCGCCACCAUAAAGAGGCCCAUCUGGGUAAGACCUGUCCCGCCUGCUGUGGGGUAUUAGGGCAGAUGGGGUCUGAGGGGUCUGAGGGCUCUGAGAGCAGCUGGCAGCUCAAGGACAUCCGGAGUUGGAGGAUGGAGCAAUGCAGGCCCUUGUGGUAAAGACAGUCCUGCAGCCGCGCAGGCAGGGAUGCUGCAAGUGGAGUGCCAGGCGGGUGCGGAGCCCUGUGGGACUGUGGAGGGGUCAGAGGGAAGCCAGGAUUUUGGGGUCUCUGAGAGUUUGGAGAAGGGGAAGAAGAUUAAAGCUUGUUUCAAAAGUUUCUAAUCAGGUGGGCAGGGCCAAGGGUGGCUGUGGGGUGAGACCCAUGACUCAGGGUGGCCCACUGUUACUCUAUUGAUUUUUGGGCGUUUUUUUCCAAAUUGAUUAUUCUUGCUGAAUGAGACCUGAGUCCUUGACUGUCCCCUUAAAGCCACCUGACUUGUUUUCAGUUCCACUGGCCUGUCGGGCUGUUUUCUACUCAACUCCACUCUUGCUUGUCUGCCCUCCCUGCCUGGGGCCCAGCCAGCAGUCAGCUCAAGGGCCAGAUGAAUUGGGUGGCUGUGCUCUGCCCACUGGGCAUCGUGUGGAUGGUGGGUGACCAGCCCCCUCAGGUGCUCAGCCAGGCCUCAAGCCUUGCUGUGUACCUCAGAGCAGCUCCGUACCCUGAUGUCACAGCAAAGAAACUUAGACAUGACACAAACUGUGGCUUCCCAAGGCAGCAAAGAAUGGCCAGGGGUCAUGAGGGCCGUGCCCCACUUUUGGACAGACCUACUCUAAAGUCACGCUACCUGCGUGCAAAUCAUAAAAUCAACACUUUUGAGGAGAUCACAGCUAUGCCUUCGUAACACAGCCCAGUCCGACCAGAUAGACGGUGCCUCGUGACCCGAAAACAAGCCCCCGGCCCCCCACCAUGUGUGUGAGCCUUACCUUGGACUGCACGCUGAGGGAGCGGAUGGAAGGGACAGCAAGGAGGCCGAAGCGCUCGUAGAGGUACUCAUUGGAGGAGCUUCCCUUCAGGAGGGCGAAAGGAAUGAGGUAGAGCUCCCCCUCCAGAACCAGGAUGAGCUGCCGGUGCCGGCCCACGGGGCCGCUGGAGUGCAUCAGGCCCUAUGGAGCAAGCACGGAGAGGCUGACAUGGGUGGCCCAGCAGGCAGGGGUUUCAGGCACCAGGACAACCCUGAGCCCUAGCCUGGAUGACACAAGCACGAGCAGGUGAGGCCUGUGGGGGUGUGGGGCGCCAUGGGGCAUGGGCCGAGUUGCAGCCCUGCAGGAGCGGCACCAACUGGCAUGCUCGCUUGUGGACUGGCAAGGGCUGGCCUGGCAGCAUCCAUCUGCCUCACAGUCCUGAGAAGGUUAGAGGACAGUUUCUUGAAGUUCACAAGAACCUGAAGUGGGUUGGAGACCGGUCUGUACCGCACAGGCACCCUGAGAAGGGGUGGGAAUGGCCCCUCUCAAAACAAGAUCUGUUUUCCAUUUCAAUGGACAAGAGGCUAGAAAAUCACAGUGAGGACGGGAGGUCUGGGGGCUGGCAUGACAGCCCCUGUAGAAGGGGAUGGGCUGGGUUCUAGGAUCUUCCGUGACCUCCUCUGAGAAAGAGUGGCCCCUUGGCUCUGGGCUUGGGAGGUGCCGUCCCCACUUGUUCCCUCUGGGGAUGUCAGGGGACCCAAUGCAUGGAUGACUCCCAUCCCUCUUGAAAGGCCGAGCAUGAGGACUCGAGGCAGGGUGUGCACAGGGCCACAGCGGACACAGCCUCAUUCCUGUUCAUUGCAGAACAAGGCUAAGGGCGCGGGCAUCUUAAUGAGAGCAGCAGGCAACAAUCCUGGAAGCUGGGUCCACACAGACUGCGGUGAACAAAGAGGUGGCGUGGAAGCUGCUGCUGCAGCCCAGAGCCUGCCAAGAAGGUCCCAGGUCCACAGGGCCUGCGCAACACUGGGUGCCAGGGGUGGGGCUGGCCUGCCCCCCAACCCCAUCUGCUGAGGAGUGGCUGACAAGCGGACACCCACCAGGGUGCCACUCGCUUGUGCCUGGGGAAGCAAAUGUGCUCGCUUGACCCGUCUGAUGUGCUGCCGUGGGCACUUGACUGAGAGUGGCAGAGCACUAGGCUAACCCAAAGUGACACAUGCCUGGCGGGAUGUUCAGUCUCUGUAAACCCAUAUGGUUUUUUUUUUUCUUUCCUUUAAAAAAAAUUUCUAGCUCCAUCUAGCGAAAGCAGAAAUAAAAAGUAUUAGGC